GUUGCCCUGCGGUGUUCGUGAUGAAAUGCGAGGAAUCCGGGGCCAAACUAUGAAAUUGGGAGCUCUACUUCGGGUAGGUAUGCAUAUCUCUCCGGUUUUCUCGGGGAGAAAGCAGAUCCUAUCCGAGGGGGCACCCACCUGGUAAUCGGGUUCGGCGAUUCCCAUUUCACACGGCACUCGCGGGGCUAUA
rnacentral:other from 1 species